rnacentral:rRNA from 1 species
GCACAGCCCGCAGGGUGGGUGGCGAGUGGCGGACGGGUGAGGAAUACAUCGGAAUCUACCCUGUCGUGGGGGAUAACUAGCCGAAAGGUUAGCUAAUACCGCAUACGACCGAGAGGUGAAAGCGGAGGACCGCAAGGCUUCGCGCGAUUGGAUGAGCCGAUGUCGGAUUAGCUAGUUGGCGGGGUAAAGGCCCACCAAGGCGACGAUCCGUAGCUGGUCUGAGAGGAUGAUCAGCCACACUGGGACUGAGACACGGCCCAGACUCCUACGGGAGGCAGCAGUGGGGAAUAUUGGACAAUGGGCGCAAGCCUGAUCCAGCAAUGCCGCGUGUGUGAAGAAGGCCUUCGGGUUGUAAAGCACUUUUAUCAGGAACGAAAAGUUCUCGGUUAAUACCCGGGAAUGCUGACGGUACCUGAGGAAUAAGCACCGGCUAACUUCGUGCCAGCA